rnacentral:rRNA from 1 species
GACAAGCGGAGGAGCAUGUGGUUUAAUUCGAUGAUACGCGAGGAACCUUACCUGGGCUUGAACGUAUGGUGCAUUAGGGUGAAAGCCCUAUUCUAGCAAUAGACUUCAUACGAGGUGCUGCAUGGCUGUCGUCAGCUCGUGCCGUGAGGUGUUAGGUUAAGUCCUGCAACGAGCGCAACCCCUGUUCCAGUUGCCAUCAAGUAAAGUUGGGGACUCUGGAGAGACUGCCUGCGCAAGCAGAGAGGAAGGUGGGGAUGACGUCAAGUCAGCACGGCCCUUACGUCCAGGGCUACACACGUGCUACAAUGGCCGGUACAGAGGGCAGCGACCUGGUGACAGGUAGCGAAUCUCCAAAGCCGGUCUCAGUUCGGAUCGGAGUCUGCAACUCGACUCCGUGAAGCUGGAUUCGCUAGUAAUCGGAUAUCAGCAAUGAUCCGGUCGAAUACGUUCCCGGGCCUU